GAUGAACGCUAGCGGCAGGCUUAAUACAUGCAAGUCGUGGGGCAGCAUGAGUAGCAAUACUUGAUGGCGACCGGCAAACGGGUGAGGAACACGUACACAACCUUCCUUCAAGCGGGGAAUAGCCCAGAGAAAUUUGGAUUAAUACCCCAUAAUAUAUUUGAUAAGGCAUCUUAUUAAUAUUAAAGCUUCGGCACUUGAUGAUGGGUGUGCGGCUGAUUAGAUAGUUGGCGGGUAACGGCCCACCAAGUCUACGAUCAGUAGCUGAUGUGAGAGCAUGAUCAGCCACACGGGCACUGAGACACGGGCCCGACUCCUACGGGAGGCAGCAGUAAGGAAUAUUGGACAAUGGACGAAAGUCUGAUCCAGCCAUGCCGCGUGAAGGAUUAAGGUCCUCUGGAUUGUAAACUUCUUUAUAUGGGACGAAAAAGGGCAUUCUUGUUCACUUGACGGUACCAUAUGAAUAAGCAACCGGCUAACUCCGUGCCAGC
rnacentral:rRNA from 1 species